ensembl:lncRNA
AGAAGAGCAUUGGUGGUAUAAAUACCCAGCAUAAACAGGAUUAAAAGAGCAACUACUGACUCCAUCAGAGAAGUGUGAAGUGAGAGAGACAAGCAUAGAGAGAGAAUAAAGUGUAAGCAUCAGGAGCACUGUGUACUGCAGUGUGUCUCUACACGCUCGCUUUACUACAACGCUCAACUUGGGAGACAAGAAGCGUCACUUCUCUGAACUCUUUUACUGGAACGCCAUCCCAUCUCUCUCUCUCUCCAUCAGACACGCUCGUACACACAAAUGGAGAAUAUGUCUUGGUGCUGAAGUAUUGCUGAAGUUCAAACUGGGCCACUGGAUACAUCUAUUUUGGUCCACUCAGUGGCACCAGUCCCACUGGACACGCACCCACACACGGACAACAUCGCAGAGUUCAGGAUCCAUGGAAGAGCACAGUCCAAGUACCACCAUGAGAGGUGAGGGGUGCCGGACACGUCUCUGAGAGAUGGCUGGGAGAGCGUGGCGCAUUAAAAAUACAGGUCCCCACAAGAGAUUUCUGGUCUCAGCUAGUGCUAUAAAUCAAUAGCCGUGCACUCUUCAUCAAGACAUUUCUACCCGGCUACAAACGGAAUGGCUUUCUUGAGCACUUGCUGACCAGAAGCCACACUCCAGAGGAUACUAUUUUUGUGGACGUCUGAAGUCUAUUUCGCACUGCGGCUCUGAAAAAACACUGGAUGAUUAAACAAUGUAUUUAUAUAUAUAUGCAUAGCUGAUAAAGCUGAUAAGUCUUUAAACCACCUGUCAAUGUUCUUUUUUUUAUGCUUACGCUGACACUUCCUUCAAAGCUUUUGCCACUUCAGAGAAUAUUCCUAUCAGCUUUGGACUGUCUAAAUCGCAGCUAUUUUUACUCCACUACAUAUUUAGAUAAAAGUCUCCCAUUACAGAAUUCUGUUCAAAACAUUUUGUCUGAAUGAGUGACAGCAGAAGGGAGGUUCACUCUCUAAAAUCUUCACAAUUUUACAACCUGUCUACAGUCUGUUGCUAAUCAUGGUUUUCCGUCAUCAGAAGUGACUUCCAUCUUUUUUCAUGCAAAAUGAAACACAUUAGCAUAUUUAUGGGCUGAGAUAUAUCCAAACGUGUACAACGUGCUACAUGGAUCUUGCAUUCAGUCAUCAAGCGAAGGAACAAAUAGCUUCUGAGAUGUGAAGAAAAUGGAACAUUCAAGAGCUCUGUGCAUUUAAACACAUGGACUAAAAUCACAGGGUUAACUUGGGAGGAGAUGGAGGAGCACAUGAGUUAGUUUCCUUGCUAAGGUUAAUGCUUGUAUCUGUGUGAAAUCAACCUUAAAACUAUUUAAAUUGUUGUUACUGCCAUCAUAUAAAUGACAUAUUCAUAAAAGUAAAAUUGUUGGCCAUAUCAGCCGGAAAGCAUUAGUUGGUG